AACAAUAAAAUCCUAAUUCUAAUAGAAUACUAAAAAUGCUCUAAUUAAACCAUAAUAAUAUUAAGCAAGCUUUAAUAAAAUUCAAAGAAACUUCAAAGAAAUUUCAAAAAAAUAAUAAAAAAUCUUAAAGAAAUAUUAGAAUGAUCACAAAAAUCUCUUGAAUACAUCUCAAUUCAAUCUUAAUUUAAUCAUAGUUAAAAUUCUAUUAGACUUCAUUCAAACUUUAGGCCAAAACUAAUAAAAUCCUAAAUCCUAAAUCAAACCCUAAAUCUUAAAUCAAAUCCUAACCAAACUCUAACCAAAUCCUAAUCAAAUCCUAACAAAAUCCUAAAAAAAUCUUAAAUCCUAAAUCAAAUCCUAAAAAAAAUUCUAAAUCAAACUCCAACCAAACCCUAAACCCUAAAUCAAAUCCUAAAUCUUAAACCAAAUUCCAACCAAACUCUAAAUCCUAAAUCCUAAAUCAAACCUUAAUCAAAUCCUAAUCCUAGAUCAAAUCCUAAUCAAAUCCUAAAUCUUAAAUCAAACCCUAACCAAAUCCUAACUCUAAAUCAAAUUCUUACCAAAUUCUAAACUCUAAACCAAUCCCUAAUCAAAUCCUA
rnacentral:lncRNA from 1 species